CUAGUGUCGGUUACUGAUGUUUUUCACCUGUUGCUGUUCUAGUUGUUUUUGUAAACUGUUCUUUUUUCACUUACAUCUACUCAUAUUUGCUUCUCCUUAUUGGUGGAAAGUGAUUGGCUAAACUACAGGGGAGACUAUCAAAGGGACAGACAGAAGCUAGAAAAAUGAAUAAGCAGGUAACAUAGAGGCUUGUGGUGACCUUGGAGGGCCAUGAAUCUUAGCUUCAAUGGAUAAGAAUUCCUUGGGUUCUUUUGUACGAAGGAUCGAGGCAGCUUAAAAAGAACAGGAGAUCACAAUAUUUUCAGUAGUACACAGAUAAAGAACAUGAAGACCCUGUAGUCUAGUCAUUCUCUACGUUUUUUUUAGUCCCUACAAUGGAGG